rnacentral:tRNA from 1 species
GAUCCCGUAGCUCAGUUGGUUAGAGCGCUGCUCUGAUAAGGCAGAGGUCCCAAGUUCAAUUCUUGGCGGGAUCA